UACGUAGGGGGCAAGCGUUGUCCGGAUUUAUUGGGCGUAAAGAGCGUGUAGGCGGCCAGGUAGGUCUGCUGUGAAAACUCGAGGCUUAACCUCGAGAUGUCGGCGGAAACCAUCUGGCUAGAGUCCGGAAGAGGAGAGUGGAAUUCCUGGUGUAGCGGUGAAAUGCGCAGAUAUCAGGAAGAACACCCGUGGCGAGGGCGGCUCUCUGGGCUGACACUGACGCUCAUGCACGAAAGCGUGGGGAGCAAACAGG
rnacentral:rRNA from 1 species